rnacentral:rRNA from 1 species
UACGUAGGGGGCAAGCGUUGUCCGGAUUUAUUGGGCGUAAAGAGCGUGUAGGCGGCCUGGAAGGUCAGCUGUGAAAACUCGAGGCUCAACCUCGAGACGUCGGUUGAAACCACCUGGCUAGAGUCCGGAAGAGGAGAGUGGAAUUCCCGGUGUAGCGGUGAAAUGCGCAGAUAUCGGGAAGAACACCCGUGGCGAAGGCGGCUCUCUGGGCCGAUACUGACGCUGAGGAGCGAAAGCGUGGGGAUCAAACAGG